GACGAACGCUGGCGGCGUGCCUAAUACAUGCAAGUCGAACGCACUCUCGUUUAGAUUGAAGGAGUUUGCUCCUGAUUGAUAAACAUUUGAGUGAGUGGCGGACGGGUGAGUAACACGUGGGUAACCUGCCCUAAAGUGGGGGAUAACAUUUGGAAACAGAUGCUAAUACCGCAUAAAACCUAACACCGCAUGGUGUAGGGUUGAAAGAUGGUUUCGGCUAUCACUUUAGGAUGGACCCGCGGUGCAUUAGUUAGUUGGUGAGGUAAAGGCUCACCAAGACCGUGAUGCAUAGCCGACCUGAGAGGGUAAUCGGCCACACUGGGACUGAGACACGGCCCAGACUCCUACGGGAGGCAGCAGUAGGGAAUCUUCCACAAUGGACGAAAGUCUGAUGGAGCAACGCCGCGUGAGUGAAGAAGGUUUUCGGAUCGUAAAACUCUGUUGUUGGUGAAGAAUGUAUCUGAUAGUAACUGAUCAGGUAGUGACGGUAUCCAACCAGAAAGCCACGGCUAACUACGUG
rnacentral:rRNA from 1 species